AUUGAACGCUGGCGGCAUGCUUUACACAUGCAAGUCGAACGGUAACAGGCCGCAAGGUGCUGACGAGUGGCGAACGGGUGAGUAAUGCAUCGGAACGUGCCCAGUCGUGGGGGAUAACGCAGCGAAAGCUGUGCUAAUACCGCAUACGAUCUAUGGAUGAAAGCGGGGGACCGUAAGGCCUCGCGCGAUUGGAGCGGCCGAUGUCGGAUUAGGUAGUUGGUGGGGUAAAGGCCUACCAAGCCGACGAUCUGUAGCUGGUCUGAGAGGACGACCAGCCACACUGGGACUGAGACACGGCCCAGACUCCUACGGGAGGCAGCAGUGGGGAAUUUUGGACAAUGGGCGCAAGCCUGAUCCAGCAAUGCCGCGUGCAGGAAGAAGGUCUUCGGGUUGUAAACUGCUUUUGUACGGAACGAAACGGCCUGGGUUAAUACCCUGGGCUAAUGACGGUACCGUAAGAAUAAGCACCGGCUAACUACGUGCCAGCAGCCGCCGUAAGAC
rnacentral:rRNA from 1 species